rnacentral:rRNA from 1 species
UACGGAGGGUGCAAGCGUUGUCCGGAAUCACUGGGCGUAAAGGGCGCGUAGGCGGCUCAUGAAGGCUGUGGUGAAAGUCCGGGGCUCAACCUCGGAUCGGCCGUGGCGACUCGUGGGCUGGAGCACUGUAGAGGCGGGUGGAAUUCCGGGUGUAGCGGUGAAAUGCGUAGAGAUGCGGAGGAACACCGAUGGCGAAGGCAGCCCCCUGGGCUAACACUGACGCUCAGGCACGAAAGCGUGGGGAGCAAACAGG